AGUCAUAUAUCUUUCUACAAUUUAAGAUACAUGGCUGAGAAACAUACAUGGAUGAGGGUCCCAAUUGAGAGGGAAAUUCUUGCCUACUAGAAUUUUUGUUCUCCACUCUUCUAAUCUUUAAUUCGACAGGCGAGUCUUACUUCAAGUAGGAUUUGUCUUAAGUUUCUCUCAAGGAGUCUGAAUUUAUCUUUCUAUGAAUCUUAAUCAGUUUUCUCUUCACAAAUUAAUAUUUUAAAAGAGUUGAAAACACGUUUGAAGUAUGAAAGCUCAAAGUAAGAUUCCCCUUCCUAGUCAAUUCGUACUAGAAAAAUGACUUGUUUCCUAAUAAAAAAUAACUAGAAUUUAUUUCAUCUUCAAUACAAAUUCUACAUCAAAUAUUCAUAAUUAAUAGAGUCUAAAAUCAUACCUAAAAUCCACAAUAAAGUCAAGGAUUCAUUUAGUC
rnacentral:lncRNA from 1 species